rnacentral:tRNA from 1 species
GCGCACGUGGCGGAAUUGGUAGACGCGCAGGUCUCAGAAGCCUGUGCCUUCGGGUGUGGGAGUUCGACUCUCCCCGUGCGCA